ensembl:lncRNA
GGUGAGGCCGCGCAGGGUGGACAACACGAGGGCUGGUGGCCGGCCUUGCUUGCUGGACGCGUAGCCGGCAGGUCCUUUGCCCCAGGGACGUGUGGCCCGGUGGAAAGUCAGACAAUGGCUGCUACAGACCCCUGAGCCCUGGGCAAGCUGAAAGCUGAGGAUAUGGUGGUGAACAGAAGUGUGGUUUCUGCCUUGUAAGUGUGAAUCUCACUUUUGCUUUUAGUGAACACGGAAUUGUACGUAUUUUGGGGAUGCAGUGGGAUAUUCCAAUACCUACAUACAGUUUGUCCAGGACAAAUCAGGGCAGUUAACAUUUCCAUCUGCUCAUCAUUGCUUUCUUGCUGGGAGCCUGCCAGCCCCCCUCUUCUAGCUCUUCCUAAAGUAUCCGGUAGGUUGUCCUGAACGAGGGUCCCCCACUGUGCCGGCGCUGGAACUCACUCCUCCUCCCUCUACCUUCUGUCAUCCCUAGGGCUGGAACACAGGCACGGAAGCCCAGAGUCACCCUUCCGCCUCCAGCGUGACCACAGCUCGCCUUCUCCGUGGGAGGAUGUGCGCCUCAUCCACACUCCCCCAUGAGGCCUGGCCUGGUGGCUGCCGAACUCACUGUACGAGACGGCUGAACUCAAUGAAGACCGCUAAGUGCCGACAAAUCAACGGAGCCCUCGGCUCCCUGCUUCCCCACCACAUCCCAGCACCCACCGGGGCCUCCCAGAGCCUGGGUGGGGCCCCCCACUUUCUCUGCAGAGACUCCCCGGGUCUGCGCCGUCUCAGACUGAAAGAAGCUUCGGGACCAAGAAGUCCUCUGGUCUCCCACGGUCCGAGGAGGGGGCGGCCUGGCCCUUGCUUCUGCUCGGGCAGCAGCUGGCCAGCCCCCUCCCUGCCACUCUCUAUCCUCUCUGCCGCAGACUUGGUGACGUAAGGUGACGCAAGCCUGGCACCCCGCACCGCUGUGCAGGUUGGAAGUCCGGCCGGGCUCUCCUGGCCCCUCGUGUCGCUCACCCUCUUCACGGAGGAACGACACUAAACCCUGCCUAGGCUUCAUAUCCGAGUCACGGCACCAUUAUGUCGCUCCCCCUCUUCACAGAGGAACGACACAAGACCCUGCGUUGUUCUUUUGUCUGCUCGGCCCUCCCCGGGUUUGCUGCUGGUUCUUCCCGGGUUGGCUACCGUCCCUCCACCUCCGUGGAAGGGCGGGCCCCCUGCCACUUUCCCCACUUCCGCGGGGGAGCGGCACACCGCCGGCCGGCUCUUUCGGGGGCUGCACAGGUGUCCCUUCAGAUAGAUGUUCCUGGUGCAUGUUGUCUCUCUCCUCCUUUAUAGUUCUCUUCCGCCAAUCCCAACUCGGCUACCCACACGCCGAGUACGCUGCUCUCCUCCAAUCAGGAGCAGCUCCUGCAGCUUAUUGGUUGAACUGGAGGCAGCUGUGUAGAAGCUGUUUACUCCUCUCCCAGCGCCAUAUUGUGGGAGAGCAGAUGCAUAGAAUAAGUCUUAAUUCCAGUAACUUAGUCUAGUCUGAGUUGCUCCCCACACCCUCGGUGGUGCUGGCCGAGUCCUCCCUGGAGACUGGCUGGGAGGGUCCUUGCACAGGCUCGCGCCCAUGGGCG